CUAAAUGACUUCCCCACUCCUUAGUAACAAUAGCAGAAAACUGGAGAAGUCUAAUAAAAUUCGCCUCUGGCACAAGUUUCAAAAAAAAUCCCAGUUGAAGGAAUUUAGAAGAAGAAGAAGAAGAAGAAAACCGGAAAAGAGGAAGAGACAAACAAAAAACAGCCAAAACCCACAAAAACCCUUUAAACUAUUCCUCCAUUACACUCACUUUCUGUUGUACCACUAAUAGUACCAGCUAUUGUUACUACAAAUAUAUGAAGCUGGAAAAGAGAGAGAAAAAGAAAG
rnacentral:lncRNA from 1 species